GCGAGAGUGGCGGAAUGGCAGACGCGCCGGAUUUAGGUUCCGGUGUCCUUUGGGCGUAGGGGUUCGACUCCCCUCUCUCGCACCA
rnacentral:tRNA from 1 species